UACGGAGGGUGCAAGCGUUGUUCGGAUUUAUUGGGCGUAAAGCGCGCGUAGGCGGUUUCUUAAGUCUGAUGUGAAAGCCCUGGGCUCAACCCAGGAAGUGCAUUGGAUACUGGGAGACUUGAAUACGGGAGAGGGUAGUGGAAUUCCUAGUGUAGGAGUGAAAUCCGUAGAUAUUAGGAGGAACACCGGUGGCGAAGGCGGCUACCUGGACCGAUAUUGACGCUGAGACGCGAAAGCGUGGGGAGCAAACAGG
rnacentral:rRNA from 1 species